AUACUUGAGCUAAUACCGGAUACGCCCUUAGGGGGAAAGAUUUAUUGCCGAAGGAUUGGCCCGCGUCCGAUUAGCUAGUUGGUGAGGUAAUGGCUCACCAAGGCGACGAUCGGUAGCUGGUCUGAGAGGAUGAUCAGCCACACUGGGACUGAGACACGGCCCAGACUCCUACGGGAGGCAGCAGUGGGGAAUAUUGGACAAUGGGCGCAAGCCUGAUCCAGCCAUGCCGCGUGAGUGAUGAAGGCCCUAGGGUUGUAAAGCUCUUUCGCCAGGGACGAUAAUGACGGUACCUGGAUAAGAAGCCCCGGCUAACUUC
rnacentral:rRNA from 1 species